rnacentral:tRNA from 3 species
GGAAGCGGAAGAAAGCUGGUGUUUUCAACAGUCUUCAAAACUGGUAGGUGGCUUAAUGUCAUUGGUAGGUUCGAUUCCUACACGCUUCCGCCA